rnacentral:rRNA from 1 species
UACGUAGGGGGCUAGCGUUGUCCGGAAUCAUUGGGCGUAAAGCGCGCGUAGGCGGCCCGGUAAGUCCGCUGUAAAAGUCAAAGGCUCAACCUUUGAAUGUCAGUGGAUACUGCCGGGCUAGAGUCCGGAAGAGGCGAGUGGAACUCCUGGUGUAGUGGUGGAAUGCGCAGAUAUCAGGAGGAACACCGAUAGCGAAGGCAGCUCGCUGGGACGGUACUGACGCUGAGGCGCGAAAGCGUGGGGAGCGAACAGG